rnacentral:rRNA from 1 species
GAGUUUGAUCAUGGCUCAGAGCGAACGUUAGCGGGAGGCUUAACACAUGCAAGUCGAGCGAGAACAGUCCUUCGGGGCUUAGUACAGCGGCGGACGGGUGAGUAACACGUGGAUAAUCUGCCCUUUGGCGGGGGACAACAGCUCGAAAGGGUUGCUAAUACCGCAUAAGUCUUUGAGGCCUUUGGGUUUCAGAGGGAAAGAUGGCCUCUUCUCGAAAGCUAUCACCGAAGGAUGAGUCCGCGUAGCAUCAGCUUGUUGGUGGGGUAAUGGCCUACCAAGGCUAAGACGCUUAGCUGGUCUGAGAGGAUGAUCAGCCACACUGGGACUGAGAUACGGCCCAGACUCCUACGGGAGGCAGCAGUGGGGAAUAUUAGACAAUGGGCGCAAGCCUGAUCUAGCCAUCCCGCGUGAGUGAUGAAGGCCCUUGGGUCGUAAAGCUCUGUGGGGAGAGACGAAACCUGAAGGGAACAAUACCCCUUCAACUGACGGUAUCUCCUUAGCAAGCGCCGGCUAACUCCGUGCCAGCAGCCGCGGUAAUACGGAGGGCGCGAACGUUGCUCGGAAUCAUUGGGCGUAAAGCGCACGUAGGCGGCCUGAUAAGUCGGAUGUGAAAGCCCUCGGCUCAACCGAGGAAGUGCAUUCGAAACUGUCAGGCUUGAGUAUGGGAGAGGGUUGCGGAAUUCCCGGUGUAGAGGUGAAAUUCGUAGAUAUCGGGAGGAACACCAGCGGCGAAGCGGCAGCCUGGACCAAUACUGACGCUGAGUGCGAAAGCGUGGGGAGCAACAGGAUUAGAUACUCUGGUAGUCCACGCCGUAAACGAUGAGUGCUCGUGUCUCGGGUAUUGACCCCUGAAGCGCUUAGUAACGCGAUAGCACUUCGCUGGGGAG